rnacentral:rRNA from 1 species
UACGGAGGGUGCAAGCGUUAUCCGGAUUCACUGGGUUUAAAGGGUGCGUAGGUGGGCAAGUAAGUCAGUGGUGAAAUCUCCGGGCUUAACCCGGAAACUGCCAUUGAUACUAUUUGUCUUGAAUACUGUGGAGGUCAGCGGAAUAUGUCAUGUAGCGGUGAAAUGCUUAGAUAUGACAUAGAACACCAAUUGCGAAGGCAGCUGGCUACACAAAUAUUGACACUGAGGCACGAAAGCGUGGGGAU